AGAGUUUGAUCAUGGCUCAGAACGAACGCUGGCGGCGUGGAUAAGACAUGCAAGUUGAGCGAUGAACGGACAAUAGCAAUAUUUGAAGGGAUUAGCAGCGAACGGGUGAGUAACACGUGGGAAUCUGCCCUAGGGACUGGGAUAGCCUGACGAAAGUCAGGGUAAUACCGGAUAAGAUCUUCGGAUUAAAGGCGCAAGCCGCUCUAGGAUGAGCCCGCGUUCCAUCAGCUAGUUGGUAGGGUAAAAGCCUACCAAGGCGAUGACGGAUAGCUGGUCUGAGAGGACGGUCAGCCACAAUGGAACUGAGACACGGUCCAUACACCUACGGGUGGCAGCAGUCGAGAAUCAUUCACAAUGGGCGCAAGCCUGAUGGUGCGACGCCGCGUGGGGGAUGAAGGCCUUAGGGUCGUAAACCCCUGUCGGUUGUGAGUAAAGCCCGGUUCGAAUCGGGUCUGAUAUUAGCAACAAAGGAAGGGGCGGCUAACUCCGUGCCAGCAGCCGCGGUAAUACGGAGGCCCCAAGCGUUGUUCGGAUUUACUGGGCGU
rnacentral:rRNA from 1 species